rnacentral:rRNA from 1 species
GUCCACGCCGUAAACGAUGGAUACUAGCUGUUGGAAGCAAUUUCAGUGGCUAAGCGAAAGUGAUAAGUAUCCCACCUGGGGAGUACGUUCGCAAGAAUGAAACUCAAAGGAAUUGACGGGGGCCCGCACAAGCGGUGGAGCAUGUGGUUUAAUUCGAUGAUACGCGAGGAACCUUACCAAGGCUUAAAUGUAGACUGACCGGUUUGGAAACAGACUUUUCGCAAGACAGUUUACAAGGUGCUGCAUGGUUGUCGU